GCGGAGGAAAAGAAAAUAACAAUGAUUUCCCUAGUAACGGCGAGUGAAGAGGAAAAAGCUCAAAGUUGGAAUCCGGUUGCCCUAGGUAAUUGGAGUUGUAAACUGGAGAGGCGUUUUCCAGGCAAACCAAGCAAAUAAGUCCUUUGGAACAGGGCAUCAUAGAGGGUGAGAAUCCCGUCUUUGGCUUGAGUAUUGUCUUUUGUGAUACGCUUUCAAAGAGUCAGGUUGUUUGGGAAUGCAGCCUAAAUUGGGUGGUAAAUCUCACCUAAAGCUAAAUAUUGGCGAGAGACCGAUAGCGAACAAGUACCGUGAGGGAAAGAUGAAAAGAACUUUGAAAAGAGAGUUAAACAGUAUGUGAAAUUGUUGAAAGGGAACCGUUUGGAGCCAGACUGGCUGCUCUAUAAUCAAUCUCUGCUUCGGUAGGGAUGCACUUGUAGGGCUUUGGCCUGCCAACAGCAAUUUUUUUUGAAGGAAAAAACCAAGAGGAAUGUGGCCCUUCGGGGUGUUAUAGCCUUUUGGAAAAUACUUUGAAGGGGAUUGAGGACUGCAGCAGAUGCUUUUGGCGAAAUGUGUAGGUGCUUGUGUUAAUGAAGUAUAGAAUUUCUGCCUCGGGUGGUGCUAUGCUCUGAUGCGCAACUCGCUUGCUCUAUUUUUCUAUCUGCUUAGGUUGUUGGCUUAAUGACUCUAAAUGAC
rnacentral:rRNA from 1 species